UACAGAGGGUGCAAGCGUUAAUCGGAAUUACUGGGCGUAAAGGGCGCGUAGGCGGAGUAUUAAGUUAGAUGUGAAAUCCCCGGGCUCAACCUGGGAAUGGCAUUUGGGACUGCAAGGCUGGAGUGCGGCAGAGGAGACUGGAAUUCCUGGUGUAGCAGUGAAAUGCGUAGAUAUCAGGAGGAACACCGAUGGCGAAGGCAGGUCUCUGGGCUGACACUGACGCUCAUGCACGAAAGCGUGGGGAGCAAACAGG
rnacentral:rRNA from 1 species